rnacentral:rRNA from 1 species
GGUUAAGCGACUAAGCGUACACGGUGGAUGCCCUGGCAGUCAGAGGCGAUGAAGGGCGUGCUAAUCUGCGAUAAGCGCCGGUAAGGUGAUAUGAACCGUUAUAACCGGCGAUACCCGAAUGGGGAAACCCAGUGUGACUCGUCACACUAUCAUUAACUGAAUCCAUAGGUUAAUGAGGCGAACCGGGGGAACUGAAACAUCUAAGUACCCCGAGGAAAAGAAAUCAACCGAGAUUCCCCCAGUAGCGGCGAGCGAACGGGGAGGAGCCCAGAGCCUGAAUCAGCAUGUGUGUUAGUGGAAGCGUCUGGAAAGACGCGCGAUACAGGGUGACAGCCCCGUACACAAAAGCGUAUGUGCUGUGAGCUCGAUGAGUAGGGCGGGACACGUGGUAUCCUGUCUGAAUAUGGGGGGACCAUCCUCCAAGGCUAAAUACUCCUGACUGACCGAUAGUGAACCAGUACCGUGAGGGAAAGGCGAAAAGAACCCCGGCGAGGGGAGUGAAAAAGAACCUGAAACCGUGUACGUACAAGCAGUGGGAGCACAGGUUUACCUGUGUGACUGCGUACCUUUUGUAUAAUGGGUCAGCGACUUAUAUUCUGUAGCAAGGUUAACCGAAUAGGGGAGCCGGAGGGAAACCGAGUCUUAAUUGGGCGUUAAGUUGCAGGGUAUAGACCCGAAACCCGGUGAUCUAGCCAUGGGCAGGUUGAAGGUUGGGUAACACUAACUGGAGGACCGAACCGACUAAUGUUGAAAAAUUAGCGGAUGACCUGUGGCUGGGGGUGAAAGGCCAAUCAAACCGGGAGAUAGCUGGUUCUCCCCGAAAGCUAUUUAGGUAGCGCCUCGUGAAUUCAUCUCCGGGGGUAGAGCACUGUUUCGGCUAGGGGGUCAUCCCGACUUACCAACCCGAUGCAAACUGCGAAUACCGGAGAAUGUUAUCACGGGAGACACACGGCGGGUGCUAACGUCCGUCGUGAAGAGGGAAACAACCCAGACCGCCAGCUAAGGUCCCAAAGUCAUGGUUAAGUGGGAAACGAUGUGGGAAGGCCCAGACAGCCAGGAUGUUGGCUUAGAAGCAGCCAUCAUUUAAAGAAAGCGUAAUAGCUCACUGGUCGAGUCGGCCUGCGCGGAAGAUGUAACGGGGCUAAACCAUGCACCGAAGCUGCGGCAGCGACACUCAGGUGUUGUUGGGUAGGGGAGCGUUCUGUAAGCCUGCGAAGGUGGCCUGUGAGGGUUGCUGGAGGUAUCAGAAGUGCGAAUGCUGACAUAAGUAACGAUAAAGCGGGUGAAAAGCCCGCUCGCCGGAAGACCAAGGGUUCCUGUCCAACGUUAAUCGGGGCAGGGUGAG